CAGCAUUUUCAUCUGAGUGGGUCUUUCAUUGGAUUCAACCCAUUUCAGGGCUGCUCAUGUUCUUGAUGCACGUCGGGUCUGUGUUCAGGCCGAAUUACAGGCUUUAUAUUAAUAACAGUUGUGCCCUCAUGAGUCACUUCCUGCCGCUGGGUCAGAAAAGGUUCCUCCAGCCGUCCGCUCGCUUCAUCAUCUGCAAGCACAACUUUAUUCACAGUCGAUCUUCUACCGAUCUGGAGCAUCGACCCGUUUAUCAGCUUCCUCUUCUGCCACGUCCGAGGGUCCAGAGGAGCCCGUCGCUAGGCAACACAGACAAACAUUCUCCAAAAUAAACCAUAAAUAACAGCAGCGGUUCGCCUUAGGUUAAAUUGGAGUUGCUGGUGCCACAACUCUGAACUGACGUAAAAGUUAAGCUGCAGUCAAGCAGCUAAAGAGAGGAAUCCACGAUCCUCCAGUAUAAAAAGGCUGAUGAUCAGCAGCUGAAAUGAUAGGACUUUCCUUCAGGAGUGAGCCGCUCGCCGGAGGUCAGGGUUCCCCGAUUAACCCUGAGGUAAUGCUGGCCUGCCUUGCGGGGUUGGCGCGGGUGAGAGGAGUUCAGCAGCUUAAAUUACAUCCCUUCCUCUGCGCUCA